rnacentral:rRNA from 1 species
UACGUAGGCAGCGAGCGUUGUUCGGAGUUACUGGGCGUAAAGGGUGUGUAGGCGGUUGUUUAAGUUUGGUGUGAAAUCUCCCGGCUCAACUGGGAGGGUGCGCCGAAUACUGAAUGACUUCGAGUGCGGGAGAGGAAAGUGGAAUUCCUGGUGUAGCGGUGAAAUGCGUAGAUAUCGAGAGGAACACCUGCGGCGAAGGCGGGUUGCUGGGCUGACACUGACGCUGAUGCGCGAAAGCUAGGGGAGCGAACGGG